rnacentral:rRNA from 1 species
ACUUGUUACAUGGCACCUGAUACUUUAUUACAUUUCUAGUGGCGGACGGUGAGUAACACGUUGGAACCUGCCCCAAAGUGAGGAAUAAGCCACCGAAAGGUGGUCUAAUACUUCAUAAUAUCCAUCUCGUAUGGAUUAAAGCUUUAUGCGCUUUGGGAGGGGCCUGCGUAACAUUAGCUAGUUGGUGAGGGUAAAAGCUCACCAAGGCUUCGAUGUUUAACUGGUUUGAGAGGAUGACCAGUCACACUGGGACUGAGAUACGGCCCAGACUCCUACGGGAGGCAGCAGUAAGGAAUCUUCCACAAUGGGGCAACCCUGAUGGAGCAAUACCGCGUGCAGGAUGAAGCGUUUCGGCGUGUAAACUGCUUUUAUCACCGAAGAUUAUGACUGUAGGUGAAGAAUAAGGACCGGCUAACUACGUG